GAUGAACGCUGGCGGCGUGCCUAACACAUGCAAGUCGAACGAAGCACUUACCUUAGAUUCUUCGGAUGAAGAGGUUUGUGACUGAGUGGCGGACGGGUGAGUAACGCGUGGGUAACCUGCCUCAUACAGGGGGAUAACAGUUAGAAAUGACUGCUAAUACCGCAUAAGCGCACAGUACCGCAUGGUACAGUGUGAAAAACUCCGGUGGUAUGAGAUGGACCCGCGUCUGAUUAGCUAGUUGGUGGGGUAACGGCCUACCAAGGCAACGAUCAGUAGCCGGCCUGAGAGGGUGAACGGGCCACAUUGGAACUGAGAAACGGUCCAGACUCCUACGGGAGGCAGCAGUGGGGAAUAUUGGGCAAUGGGCGAAAGCCUGACCCAGCGACGCCGCGUGAGGGAAGAAGGUCUUCGGAUUGUAAACCUUAGUCAACAGGGAAGAAGCAAGUGACGGUACCUGUGGAGGAAGCCACGGCUAACUACGUG
rnacentral:rRNA from 1 species